UAAAAGCUACUCUGGGGAUAACAGGCUUAUCUCCCCCAAGAGUCCACAUCGACGGGGAGGUUUGGCACCUCAACAUCAGGGGUGAAGUAGUGGAAACACUACUGCAAGUUCCGGCUUAUAACGGUGAACUCCGAACGCUGCAGGACAGCGGCGAGGACAAUACCGUGGGAAGUCCGGCGAGCGAUCGCCGUGACCCCGUAACGACUGAUUCGUCCCUGCUGGGACGAUGAGAUGGAUGUUGCUGCUCGCACACAACGGGCAAAUCUACGGCAUCCAUCACACGCCGGCCCCUCACUCGGGCAUUGCUCGAGAAGGGUGAAGAUAUAGUCUGCGCCGCCAGUAAUGGUGGAAUUACGCGCGAUGUCGGAUCGUCGCAUCCUGGGGCUGGAAAAGGUCCCAAGGGUUGGGCUGUUCGCCCAUUAAAGCGGUACGCGAUCUGGGUUCAGAACGUUGUGAGACAGUUCGGUCCCUAUCCGCCGUGGGCGUAGGAGAUUUGAGGAGCGUUGACCCUAGUACGAGAGGACCGGGUCGAACGAACCGCUGGUGAACCGGUUGUUCCGCCAGGAGCAUAGCCGGGUAGCUAUGUUCGGACCAGAUAAACGCUGAAGGCAUAUAAGCGUGAAACUGACUUCAAGAUGAGAUCUCAAUCCCGAAAGGGUGAAGGGUCGUGGGAGACUACCACGUUGAUAGGCCGGGGGUGGAAGCGCCGCAAGGUGUGAAGCUUACCGGUACUAAUCGCCCGGAUACAUUUUACU
rnacentral:rRNA from 1 species